GCCCCUAACGCAACCUUCCUUUUUGCCUCCAAGCGUUUGCGGAUCUAUCGCUCACCGACUAUGUUCCACAAUCGCUUUCGUGGCGCGUGUCUCAAUCGUGACCGGCCACUGCGGGUAACGCGAUAGCGCGUGGCAAGUAAAAGCGGUCACCACACACUUUUAUAAAACACCACUGUCUUCUCUCACAUUUUCUUUUCAUUUUUCUUCUCUAUGAUUUCAAUUCAUUACACGCUUCGCUUUGUUUUGCAGCUCGCAGAGUAGCUAUAAAGAUUCGUUUUGGCUCUGAACUGUUUUGCGAGCUUCAUUGGGAGGUUUUCAAUUAUUCGCUACUGAUCGAUCUCGAAUCCUUUAGUUUUGCGCGUGGCAGCCUCUCAUUUUGUUCUCCUUUGAGAACCAAAAGUUCCCCUCACUGUAGGUUCCUCCGUCACCACUGCAACCUCUCCUCACCAUAGGUUCCUCCCUCGCUGCUUCAGCCUCUAUCGUCAUUGGCGUUUGGCAACCUCAAAAGUCCGUAACUCAUAUAGGUACCAAACAAGGAGUUGUGGGACCCGCGAAACCCGCAAAUAGGCCGAAUCAUGAGGUCGAUGAUCCCCUAUAUCUGAUGACAUUGACCGUCUCCUUGUAGGUUAUGUGGGAUGCUACCUUGUUUGGCCUGUUUAAUGAAGACUUCCCCUUGUACAUAAAACAUGAAGACAUGUCUGAAAUAGCACACGGUGGUCAAUGUGUCAGCAUCUCUGUUAUACAGUUGUGAAUUCUGCGUAUGAUUGAGACAAGUAUGCGAGCGAGCGGGGAAUACCGAUGUGUAUAGAUUCCUCGAGCCACAGUCUAUCCAAAGAUCUGACCAAUCACAAUUUGAAUUAGAAAGUUACAUUAAGAAUUGGAUGCAAAAUUCAAAACGUGAUGUGUACUUAGGAGCCUACUUGAAUGAGUAACUUAAACUCAACAAAUGAAUUUAAAUAAUGUAUAAUAGUAUAAUAACCUAUAUUGGUCUCCAUUGUAGUACACAUUGGCAAAUGGUUGUCAUUUUGCCUAAGGAAAAUAUUGUCAUUUGAUUUUGUUCAUUACAUAAUAGGUCAGACAACUACCUCAAAGACAUAAUUAACAGGUCAGUGUUGUUUUUCAAUACAUUUGCAUUAACAUUAGUCAGGAACAUCAAAAUUUUAAUUGAACAAUAAGCAUCCAUGUUUGUAUUCAACAAUGCUGUGAAAGGACUUGACAAUACUCAACAAACUAAACCCAAGUCUCCUGCUAGGUGGAUUGUUGUUAAAUGUGACAAAAAGGAAGCACUAAGUGUCGGUAUU